GGAAAUGUCCCCAAUUCAAACAUUUCAUGAAUGAGAACAAAAAUGUUGCGCGUAGCCUAGAACAAUGGUUGUUACAGUAGCCAAGUAGGUAGGAAGCGCGAGUAUGUAUGUUGCACACAGUCCUGAACAACAGUUUUAACAGAGGGGUUAUUACGUGCACUGCUGCUAAGUAGUACCAAGAUAUAAGGAUAUUGUCUGGGUUCACGCAGCCCUGUGGAGCUGUAAACUGCUGUGUAUUGCUAUCCUGCGGUUGUUACUAAAUUUGGUAUAACUAGAGAAGCAAGCGGUCGGCAACAUUCAUCUCUUGAAGGGGUGUCCGCCUCGGUGUGUUUGACCUUAACUUAAAUUUACGCCGAUGGGUUCAUCAUUUGUAUGAAGUUGAGACUGAGCUAUAGUUGCCUACAAACUUUUUGAGCUUUAGACACACGAACAGCGGAUGUUGAAGUAGCUGUCAUCAUUCUUAUCUCACAAAAAAAUCAAUAGUUUCUUGUGUUACGCAUUUUAAAAGCAGGCCUAGGAGCGAGAAAACAGAAAGACAGACUAUUAGGAAUUGGUUGAAUCUGCUUAUGCCACAGUAUUAAAAGAAAAAAUAAGAACAGGACAUAACUGUGGAGGACUGGGCCCCAACUUAAGAAGAUCGACUAUAGAUUCAAUGGACUGGAAAAUUGUCCAUCAAAAGAAAAGAACAGAGUUGGCUGGAAUCUGACCAGAGUGCUGCGAUGACCCUUAACUAGACAUGGCUCAGAAAGUCCAAACAAAAGAAAGCUCAAGAUCUGGGACACUACAGAGAUUGUGUAUCACAGGGCGAGAACACGAUUGAGGUAAAAGAGGUCACUGGACCGCUUCACGGGGCCAAGAGACAAACAGGACCCCGAGGAAAUAGUUGGCAGAAACUCCCAGAAAGAUUCGAUUCAGUCUGCUGAUUUUGCCAACUUUGGUAAAGGAGGCCUGUUUGACUUGAACUCAGGAACAUGAAUGAAAGUACUGACUGUAAUGGACUGUAAUUGGGGGGGUAUUUACUGUCACUUAUUGUGACGUCAAGCUCAAGGUGGGAAGCUUGAAUAUUAUCACGUCUUGCCGCUGUGUUCCAGGUCGUGCGUCAUUAAAACGUCAAUAACCUGACGAACUGUCACCAUUUCACUGCUCUUUUUAUAAUAAGCUGCCACUUAGAAAAUGUAAACGCCUCGAUAGACCCAGACGGACGUCAGGCUGGGAAGUGACUGGAUGCAAACAUCAGUUGUACUCAAAUCAAAACUGUGUUUGUUCAAUAUGUUUUUAACUCAAAAUAUGGUCCGACAUUUUUCUAGAUUUACACUCUCCAUUGUCCUGACACUGCUUAUCAAUCUACGAGCGGAGAAAUGAAGACGAUUUGUCAGAUUAUCAAUAAGUAAAGCUGAUGACCUGGGACGCAGUAGUGAGGCGUGAUAAUAAUUUAAGCCUCCCCGCCGAGGUUGUUGUCAGAGGAAGAUGACCCUUGAGGAAAAAUAGUGUAUGGGUGUAAAUGUACCUCUUCUUGUCAGCUGACAGGUUUAAUGAGUGGUGAAGGGGAAAUUGGAUUUUUUUGGAGGGGGGGGAUCCAUUUACUGCUAACGUCAGGCUUGUACAUCAAGUUUCACAUUAGUUGUGAUUUGUAAAACAUAACCAGGCGUGAACGCGGCUUCAUAAAUAUGAUUAAUACAACACAUGUUUGUGUGUUUAUGGGUCUGGGGUUCCUGCUAAGAUUGAUGGUCUUAUUGUGUUGGAGCACAUGGCUGGAUUUCUUGGCCUCUGGUAAACAAUGCCGUUGAGAAACAAAGGGGAGCAGGAAUUCGUGGAAACUCAUUAGCUCUGGUAUAAAGCAAUCAGAAAUAAGCCGACACUGAAGCUGAAUUCAAUAAGAGCGGACACGAAGAGCUGCCAGUAGCCUUUUUCCGUGCCAGCGUUGACAUCUUAAGACAUUGUCUGUGGAAACUGGCAGAGACGCCGAACAGGAAUGUAGGAAGCUUUCGUGGCGUGGCAGCGUUCCCAAACCUCAUGUGUAAACAGCUUUUAGACAAAGCAGACGCUUAGAAUAACUUUGACCUCGUGUCACAAUCAAAACACUGACUUGGCCUUAGCGUGUCUGCUGUGUCU
rnacentral:lncRNA from 1 species